UACAGGGGGGGCAAGCGUUGUUCGGAAUUACUGGGCGUAAAGGGUUCGUAGGUGGCCACUUAAGUCAGACGUGAAAUCCCUCAGCUUAACUGGGGAACUGCGUCUGAUACUGGGUGGCUUGAGUUCGGGAGAGGGAUGCGGAAUUCCAGGUGUAGCGGUGAAAUGCGUAGAUAUCUGGAGGAACACCGGUGGCGAAGGCGGCAUCCUGGACCGACACUGACACUGAGGAGCGAAAGCCAGGGGAGCAAACGGG
rnacentral:rRNA from 1 species